GUUUACUAAGCCCAUGACUCAGGACAAGCAUGAUCAGCACAUUGUUGCUAUCGGGCUUAGAUUAGCUAGCAGUAUGUUUUGAUUUAGUAUUUGGAUGUACGAACUUUUAACAGUUGUACUUUUGUAUUCAAUUUUGAUUUACUGGUUAAAUGCAAUUUUGAAUCUUAUAACUGUGUUCGAUUUUAAUACGUUUAAUCCGUGAAUCUUGCAUUCUAAACUAUCCGUAAUCGGUCAGACUCGUGGGAACGAUUCUGAAUUAAGACUAUUCUGACUUUGGACUCAAGGAGUUGACUGCCAAAUUCACAAACCUCAUUGAGAAUGACGUUGGAUGUAACUCGCAUCAAAUCAUUUUCAUGGAUCUUAGUCAUAAGAUGAUUUGAUAUUGGUAUACUCAUUUAGUAUCCUUUGACCUGAGAUACAUAUUAGAACUUCCGUUUACCAAGGAUUAUACUUUGAUUACUGUCAACCGCUGUCGCGUAACUGCCAGUCAUAAAGGCUUUAAUUGGGAAUAGUUCUGAAGUACAGUGGGAGUUGUAUGUAGUCGAUAUGGGAUUCUGUACUCUUACAUGAUAUGUAACAGUUAGACAUUGUGGCGCCCUCGUAGAUUCAAACUGGUGAAGUGUAAGGCCUUACCCAAACUUACUAUGUGUUUGUUCGGACCACUUUGACUCUUGAUCGAGAACAAUAAUAAUUGAACACCAUAUGAGAAUGAACUUAAUCCAUGUCUCAUUGAUUCAAUUUAUGUCUUUUACAGAAAGGAUGAAUGAUGACAAUUACCAUAAGUCUAUUGUCUUGCAAUUGUAAGUUGUUACUAAUGGCAAGGUGUUUUGGUUAAUGACUUUAAAGUGUCAUACCUUGUUGGGGGCAGCCAUGUGCAGCUAGAGCGUCGCUGACUGUCUGCGUUGAGGAUUUUAUCGAAGGCCGUCCAAGUGGGAGAUUGUUGGAAUUAUAUGUACGGGUUCGAUAAGUCAACGCUGCUGACCGAGCUAUGACCCGUAAGAGUUACACCUUGGGCAACGAACAUUAAAUCCACUUAACUUGGUUAACUGGUGACCACGAACAAUUAACGGAACGAAAUAUACAAUUAUCUAGAAUAAUUAUAUAUUCAUGAGAAACGAGAUUUAUUAUUUAUACGGGUUAUAAAUAAUAUAACGUUUAAUUACUUAUUUAAUUAAACUUUGUUUUUCGGGCUUCGUAUCGCAUUUGGGCUUGAACUUAUUAUAUUGGGCUUCGGGACCAAAGAGAUAAUAGGGGAUGUUAACCUAAAUAUACUACUAUAUAUAUUUUAUGUUAGUCAUCUCCUUUGGUGAGCCUACUGUCGAAGAGAUCAAAAAGAAAAGAAUUGAUUUUUGUGAAACUAUCACAGCAAAAGUUGCCGUCAAAAUUGAAAGGAGGUGUAAUUCCCUUUUUGGUUUUUGUGAUACAAUCACAUAAGAGAACAGCCGCCACUUCAAGAGAAGUGUCGCCCCCCUUUUCUUUUCUCGUGAUUCUUGUUCCGCGGGUGACACCCGGUUACCGUGUUCGUGUCUAGCACUCGUUCGUUGUACCUCGGUGUCUCACACGGUUAAUUAUUAACCACAAAGUUGAAGCGUUAUGGUGGCUAGUGGGAUACUGGACGGGGAUAUUGCUAACAUCCUGGGCGAUAUCCUGAGGUUGAUUGAAUUAACCACGUGCAGGUUAAAACCUGGGGUUUGCUAACGGUCAGAUGGACUUCUUCUCCUUGAGACUCGGGCAAAACAGUUGGGAGAAAGACGUUGAAGCCGGAAGAUGUGGAUUACAACGUUCACAUGUGGAAUAUUCGCCGGAUCCCGGAAUAACAGGAUAGUUGGUUGCUUUCUUUUUACUAUAAAUAGAUUGAUCGGAUCAGAUUAAGUCACAGACACUCUUUCACACACUUUGCUCUCUAGUCUCUAGCAAUCAUUACACACGAACACUUGUACUCAAAUCCCAUUGUAACACUUAGUUGAUCCGUAUCAUAUCCUGCACUGUAUCCUGAAGUUUGAAGCAAUAAGAAGAACAAGGCAGCUGCGAUUUUCAGCUCUCGAGGUUUUAUGCCGGCGAUCUAGAUUGAUCAAGGGCUUUCCUCGUACAUCACGU
rnacentral:lncRNA from 1 species